AAAGGGUUAGUUAUUCAAGUUGCAAGAUUCGUGUUUAUGUCGUUUGUGUAUGUGUUUUGCUUUCUUUGGGAACACCAAAGAAACCUUGUUCUCUUUCGUAGUUAUUCACUAAUUAAGCUUAAAGAAAAACAAAAUGUUAAUGAAAGCCAAAAUAACUUGGAAGCUUAGAAUGGUAAUGCUUGAAUGAUGCAAUUGCUUAGGGCAAGAUGGAUGAUAGAUAGCGAGAAGAGAAUGAAGGAAAGGCUUAGUUUGAUAGAGAGUUCUGUCUAUCCAUCAAAGUGAAAUUAGGAAUUAAAAGGGUCACAAUCAGGAUGAGAACGAAUGACAUAAGAAGCAGCGUGAAAUAGAAGGCUAUUACCUCAUUUCAAUAAUGCGACGAAGAUAACUAAAAAGGGAUAGUGAGAUUACGUAAUGAAAGGGAUGAUCUCCAUGAAAAUCGUAGAGCAGAGAAGGAAGAUGAACUUUUCUCUACCUGCAAAGGUGAGAAUAACUUCCUCCCUUUUUUCUCUUCUCAUCUAUUAUAUUACGCUGUAGGAUCUAUGAAUAAAAUAAGCAAAGGUUUGAAGCUGCUCAAGAAAUGAACCCAUGUCACAAAACAGUUUGACAUGAAAGCUUCUUCUAUUCGAACAUACAACACUCUGUCUAAUCCCAUCUUUAGUAGAUCAAUCAGGUGGUUCAGGUUGGACAGAGAGAAACAGAGAAACGAGGGAGCAUGAUGACAGGGGGAUCCCAAGCAUAGGAAAAUGAAACCGAAGAACCAGGCUGUACAAUUCCGCCAUUUAUGAGAAGGCAAUUGUCCCUUUGCUUUGACAGAAUCGAUGGAUCAACGGGUUCAAUAGUCUGAAACCCUUGGCAGGACAAGAUAAUCUGCUUCUGAGGACAAUCGCAGUUGUUGAUCACUUGAACGUUCCAUUCAGGUUGCCCCCCAAUCUCCCUUCCGCUUCUCUGUGUUCCUAUGUUAAUGGUGUCCAAACUGCAGCUUCCAGCAGCACACCCUGCAACAAAAUCAAACUGAGAAAAAGGGAAGAGAAAGCUCUGAAAGGUAUUUUAUUUGGGAUUAAUUCUAACAUUCCUUUUUACCUUCGUUGAUGAAACUUAGGAGUAGGAUGAUGAUUGCAGCAAUCAUGGUGGAGAGGUUGAUCAUAGGUGAAGGAAAAUUGUUUGCUUGCAGAGAGUGGUUUUGAGAUAAGUGGGUUUAGAAAACAAAAUUCAAUGUUUUUUAAUCUUCUUUUUUAUUACUUUAUAAUGGAAAAAUUAUAGUAUGUUAGUGUUUUCA